GUGGGUCGCGUUUCCGAUCCGGUGGUUGAUUCUGCGAAGCACUGCACUGGCUAAGGUCAGUGUUAACAUCACUCCGGUUUGAGCCCCGUGAGCUCACCUACUAGUUCAGGUUAUGCUGAAAUAGCCUCUCAAGGCUAUCAGCUUAGGUAGGAAAAAAAAAUUAGGUAUAUGUUAGUUUACGUUAUACUUGCUAUUCAUCAACGAUAUUGCUAAUCACAAAAUGUAGACAGAAGUAUGGAAAUGACAGGAAUUAUUGGUGAUUAUAGGAUUAUAGGCUUCUCAUUUUAAACUUUGAUCGGCGAAAUUUUUGAAAAUGUACUUUCGUGCUUGACCUAGUUUUUCAGGACCUGGUUUCAAAUAUGGAAAAACUGACAGUAAAUUUAGAUUUAUGUUCUUGAAAACUAAAUCUUAUUUUACGUUGGACAAGUUACAAAGUGCUAUGGAGAUACCAACUGUGAAUGCGCAGUGAGGACAAACGGUGUGACGCAGUGGCGGGCGGCAUUCACAAAUCUCCGACUGCGGUGUUCACCCGCCUAAACCAACCUACAACCUAUACUAAAACCAAUAUAGUUACAUUUUCUUGCCUUUUACGGAUUCUAUUUUCCACUGUGCACGAGAGCUACUCCCCGUGUAAGGAUGACAUCACCCGCAAUUACUAAGUCAUCGGAAAAUCAAAAAGGCGAAAAAAUGUCACCCGGACAAACUACUGACGUCAAACCAACAAGCAAUGUUGCCGUCAAUAGGUCCACCACCACCUGUACAACACAGCAGUCUGAUCCAAUCACCUGGAUUCGAAUCUUUAAACUAACAGAUUUAAUGAUGAAACAAGGUUGUUGAACAAGACAAUUUGUAACAUUGAUGCCCAAAAGCAUUUUAGUAUAAUAAUAAUGACAAAGAAAUUUUAAUUCACAAUGUAGACAUUUUAUUUAGUACGUUUUGUGUAGUUUAGUUUAGUACUGUUAUUAUAUACAUAAUAGUUAAAUUAUACAUGCUUCUAUGUGUAGUUCCACAAUGUGGUACUUGAUUGAUGCCUUGUUUUUGUAAGCUAUUAGGCUUAGCGAAUAAUGUUAAUAAAUAUAAUUCACGUUGUUGCAAAAA